GAUGAAGAACGCAUCGAAAUGCGAUAAGUAAUGUGAAUUGCAGAAUUCAGUGAAUCAUCGAAUCUUUGAACGCACAUUGCGCCCCUUGGUAUUCCGAGGGGCAUGCCUGUUCGAGCGUCAUUUCAACCCCUCAAGCUUAGCUUGGUGUUGGGCUGCGCCAGCGUUGCUGGCGGGCCUUAAAAUCAGUGGCGGUGCCGUUUGGGCUCCAAGCGUAGUAGCAUCUCUCGCUCUGGAGACCCGGCGGUUGCUUGCCAGACAAUCACUAAAAAAACAAAAGGUUUGACCUCGGAUCAGGUAGGGAUACCCGCUGAACUUAAGCAUAUCAAUAAGCGGAGGA
rnacentral:misc_RNA from 1 species